GGGGCUGAUUCUGGAUUCGACGGGAUUUGCGAAACCCAAGGUGCAUGCCGAGGGGCGGUUGGCCUCGUAAAAAGCCGCAAAAAAUAGUCGCAAACGACGAAAACUACGCUUUAGCAGCUUAAUAAUCUGCUUAGAGCCCUCUCUCCCUAGCCUCCGCUCUUAGGACGGGGAUCAAGAGGGGUCAAACCCAAAAGAGAUCGCGUGGAAGCCCUGCCUGGGGUUGAAGCGUUAAAACUUAAUCAGGCUAGUUUGUUAGUGGCGUGUCCGUCCGCAGCUGGCAAGCGAAUGUAAAGACUGACUAAGCAUGUAGUACCGAGGAUGUAGGAAUUUCGGACGCGGGUUCAACUCCCGCCAGCUCCACCA
rnacentral:tmRNA from 1 species